CAGAAGUUAUGAAAAAUGUGUUCAGUGUUUUAUUAUGUAAAAUCUAGUUAGGAGUACAACUAUACAUUUACAAAUCAUGUACAUGCAUACAAAGGCACAAACACAAUUUCUACCAGAAAACUUUAAUCAGAUACAAGUAAAAAAAAUAAGAUUAUGAAACUAAAGCUAAUAAUUGUACAUGUAGCAGAUCUUAGAAAUAUUUUCAUGAAGCACGGAUCCUAAGAUAAUAAGAGAUACAUUAUUGCUUAUGCUAUCACUUUGCCUGUAUUUCUGUCUUUGUUGAGUACAUUACACUUGCAGAUGACACACACUGUUUCAUGGAAUUUCAUAAUAUCACAUUUUUUGUUGCAUACUGAAUAACUGCAUGAGGUUUUUUUUUCUUUUAGAAGAUAACGAACAGUGAUCAAUCUUAUAUAUGUUUUAAUUGCUGACCAACAAAUAGUACACUGUCAUAGUGUAAAAUAUAUUCAUUUUGAGGAAAUAGCUGAUGUGCAGUGCACAAUCCGAAAUGAAUUCAUCAGUUUACACCAUGAUCUACCUUCAAAUCCCGUACAUAAUCUGGCCAGGGAUAAUCUAAAGUGCAAGUCACAGACAAAAAGUUAUAAAGAUAACUUCCAAGAAUUUUUAAGAACUUGUUAUAACUUUGAAAUGUAUACAUGUAUAUAUACUGAUAUUGAAUUAAAUUU